rnacentral:rRNA from 1 species
CUUAUGUCUUGGGCUGCCACAUGCUACAAUGGCCGGUACAAUGGGCGUGCGAUACCGUAAGGUGGAGCGAAUCCCUUAAAGCCGGUCUCAUUUCAGAUUGGGGUCUGCAACUCGACCCCAUGAAGGUGGAGUCGCUAGUAAUCGCGGAUCAGCAACGCCGCGGUGAAUACCUUCCCGGGCCUUGUACACACCGCCCGUCACGUCAUGAAAGUCGGCAACACCCGAAACUUGUGGCCUAACCCUUCGGGGAGGGAAUGAGUGAAGGUGGGGCUG